rnacentral:misc_RNA from 1 species
UCUUCCUGAGACAUGUGCGG